rnacentral:rRNA from 1 species
UACGUAGGGUCCGAGCGUUGUCCGGAAUUAUUGGGCGUAAAGGGCUCGUAGGCGGUCUGUUGCGUCGGGAGUGAAAACUUACAGCUUAACUGUGAGCGUGCUUUCGAUACGGGCAGACUUGAGGCAUUCAGGGGAGAACGGAAUUCCUGGUGUGAGCGGUGAAAUGCGCAGAUAUCAGGAGGAACACCGGUGGCGAAGGCGGUUCUCUGGGAAUGAUCCUGA